rnacentral:lncRNA from 1 species
CCUAAUAUCCUCUCUGCACUCAAAACACUCUCAACCUAACCCUAAUCUUCAAACCCCGACCUCCCAUUUUCGGUCAUCUCCGGUGACCUCUCAUCGUCUCUUACGCCUCCAAUGGCUUAUCUCAUGUCAUUCUUGCCUUCUCUAAGGUCCUCAAGAGCCAAGGGACAUGCCGAAUUGCAUCUAAGAUUCAUCUCCUGCCUGUUCGUAGCUAUUCCUGUGUGCUUUCAAGAGAAAUCAAUCUAUGUUUGCUAUGAUCCCAGGGAUUCUAGACAUGUUUCUUCAUCUUUAUAUGGGUUUAUUUCGAAAUAAUAAUUUCUUUUCUACACCUCCUAGAUCUGUACAAAUCUAGGACGAUUUGAGUUUGUUUCAUGAAUGUUUU